rnacentral:rRNA from 1 species
UGCAGUCGAGCGAACAGACGAGGAGCUUGCUCCUUUGACGUUAGCGGCGGACGGGUGAGUAACACGUAGGUAACCUACCUAUAAGACUGGGAUAACUUCGGGAAACCGGAGCUAAUACCGGAUAAUAUUUCGAACCGCAUGGUUCGAUAGUGAAAGAUGGCUUUGCUAUCACUUAUAGAUGGACCUGCGCCGUAUUAGCUAGUUGGUAAGGUAACGGCUUACCAAGGCAACGAUACGUAGCCGACCUGAGAGGGUGAUCGGCCACACUGGAACUGAGACACGGUCCAGACUCCUACGGGAGGCAGCAGUAGGGAAUCUUCCGCAAUGGGCGAAAGCCUGACGGAGCAACGCCGCGUGAGUGAUGAAGGUCUUCGGAUCGUAAAACUCUGUUAUUAGGGAAGAACAAACGUGUAAGUAACUGUGCACGUCUUGACGGUACCUAAUCAGAAAGCCACGGCUAACUACGUGCCAGCAGCCGCGGUAAUACGUAGGUGGCAAGCGUUAUCCGGAAUUAUUGGGCGUAAAGCGCGCGUAGGCGGUUUUUUAAGUCUGAUGUGAAAGCCCACGGCUCAACCGUGGAGGGUCAUUGGAAACUGGAAAACUUGAGUGCAGAAGAGGAAAGUGGAAUUCCAUGUGUAGCGGUGAAAUGCGCAGAGAUAUGGAGGAACACCAGUGGCGAAGGCGACUUUCUGGUCUGUAACUGACGCUGAUGUGCGAAA